CGGGAGGCAGCAGUGGGGAAUAUUGCACAAUGGGCGCAAGCCUGAUGCAGCCAUGCCGCGUGUGUGAAGAAGGCCUUCGGGUUGUAAAGCACUUUCAGUCGUGAGGAAGGUAGUGUAGUUAAUAGCUGCAUUAUUUGACGUUAGCGACAGAAGAAGCACCGGCUAACUCCGUGCCAGCAGCCGCGGUAAUACGGAGGGUGCGAGCGUUAAUCGGAAUUACUGGGCGUAAAGCGCAUGCAGGUGGUUUGUUAAGUCAGAUGUGAAAGCCCGGGGCUCAACCUCGGAAUUGCAUUUGAAACUGGCAGACUAGAGUACUGUAGAGGGGGGUAGAAUUUCAGGUGUAGCGGUGAAAUGCGUAGAGAUCUGAAGGAAUACCGGUGGCGAAGGCGGCCCCCUGGACAGAUACUGACACUCA
rnacentral:rRNA from 1 species